UAUGGCACACAAUGAUCUAUACUCGAUAAACAUUAUUAUCCUAGUUAAUAACAUAUCAUUUAAUCACAAACAUGUUUAAAAACUAUUCGAUAAAUUCUUUUUUAUCGAUUAUUUUAUAGUUCUAAGGACUUCAUCAUAAUAAUAAGAGUUCUAUAAAAGAAUAAUGCAAAUUAUGAUGAACUGACAAACAUAACUUUUAUUUAUUAAUAAUUCAUAUACAAGAGCAUAAUUAUUUAUAAUAAUAUAAUUGACU
rnacentral:lncRNA from 1 species